rnacentral:rRNA from 1 species
UGAAACCUACGGGACGCAGCAGUCGGGAAUAUUGCGCAAUGGAGGAAACUCUGACGCAGUGACGCCGCGUAUAGGACGAAGGUCUUCGGAUUGUAAACUAUUGUCGUUAGGGAAGAGAAAGGACAGUACCUAAGGAGGAAGCUCCGGCUAACUACGUGCCAGCAGCCGCGGUAAUACGUAGGGAGCAAGCGUGAUCCGGAUUUAUUGGGUGGAAAGGGUGCGUAGACGGGAAAUUAAGUU